AAUAUACAUAAAUAUGUGUUCUUUCGUGUAGGUUUGCACCAGAAUCAAGCAUCAGUUCAAUGGGAACUGGAAUGAUGAAAACACUUGUCGUGCCUCAGAGUGUGGCGCCGAAGAGAAGGACGAGCAGUCAGUGGUGUCUUCGUCUUCGCCGAUUGUGCUGUGCGUAGAUGCGGAAGCCCGGCAACCGACGACAAUAUGUUCAUGUGGCUUCAAGCAUAGGUUAUUCAUGGAGGUACAUAGUUUGAAGUCCCUUUUGUAUUAUUCUUAGGAGAAUGGAGUAAAUAAUAUGUGAUGCCUUGUUCUGUCAAUACCACUGUAAAGUUUCGGUGUUUAAUUUUCUUGGUGAUCUC